CCCUUAGACGCUCUAGGCGGCACGCGCGCUACAAUGGGUGGUAGAACGUGUAACUGCUCCCGAAAGGGAGGGUGAACCACGAAUACUUACCCGUGAAUGGGAUAGUUUGUUGCAAUUUUCGGACUUGAACUAGGAAUCCCUUGUAAGAAUGCUCAAGAAUAGCGUGCUGAAUACGUCCCUGCCGUUUGUACACACCGCCCGUCGUUUCUUCCGACUGAUACUCAUUGUGAGUUGCAAGGAUUCUUAUUGAAAAAUUGCUGCGAAUGCUUUGUAUUGGAGGAAGAAAAAGUCGGAACA
rnacentral:rRNA from 1 species